UCUUAUAGCCACACCAGCCUGAGAACACCUGAUUUCAUCCAAUCUUGGAAGAUAAGCAGUUUCGGGCCUCGUUAGUACUUGGAUGGGAGGCUGCCUGGGAAUAUCAAGUGCUGUAAGCU
ensembl:rRNA 5S_rRNA 5S ribosomal RNA